rnacentral:tRNA from 1 species
GGCACCGUGGCUGAAUGGUUAAAAGUGCUUGGCUUCCGAACUUGGGGUCCUGGGUUCGAAUCUCGGUGAUGACU